rnacentral:rRNA from 1 species
CCUGGUGGUUAUCGCGGGGCGGCUGCACCCGUUCCCAUUCCGAACACGGCCGUGAAACGCCCCAGCGCCAAUGGUACUCCGUCUCACUCCUCUUUAUCUUAGGUCGCUUCCCUUU